ensembl:lncRNA
GAGUAGUGUUAGUGUGUGUUAGUCACCAGGCCUUAGUGGUACCAGCCAGAGUAGUGUUAGUGUGUGUUAGUCACCAGGCCUUAGUGGUACCAGCCAGAGUAGUGUUAGUGUGUGUUAGUCACCAGGCCUUAGUGGUACCAGCCAGAGUAGUGUUAGUUACCAGGCCUUAGUGGUACCAGCCAGAGUAGUGUUAGUCACCAGGCCUUAGUGGUACCAGCCAGAGUAGUGUUAGUGUGUGUUAGUCACCAGGCCUUAGUGGUACCAGCCAGAGUAGUGUUAGUUACCAGGCCUUAGUGGUACCAGCCAGAGUAGUGUUGGUGUGUGUUAGUCACCAGGCCUUAGUGGUACCAGCCAGAGUAGUGUUAGUCACCAGGCCUUAGUGGUACCAGCCAGAGUAGUGUUAGUCACCAGGCCUUAGUGGUACCAGCCAGAGUAGUGUUAGUGUGUGUUAGUCACCAGGCCUUAGUGGUACCGGCCAGAGUAGUGUUAGUGUGUGUUAGUCACCAGGCCUUAGUGGUACCGGCCAGAGUAGUGUUAGUCACCAGGCCUUAGUGGUACCAGCCAGAGUAGUGUUAGUGUGUGUUAGUCACCAGGCCUUAGUGGUACCAGCCAGAGUAGUGUUAGUUACCGGGCCUUAGUGGUACCAGCCAGAGUAGUGUUAGUGUGUGUUAGUCACCAGGCCUUAGUGGUACCGGCCAGAGUAGUGUUAGUGUGUGUUAGUCACCAGGCCUUAGUGGUACCAGCCAGAGUAGUGUUAGUGUGUGUUAGUUACCGGGCCUUAGUGGUACCAGCCAGAGUAGUGUUAGUGUGUGUUAGUCACCAGGCCUUAGUGGUACCGGCCAGAGUAGUGUUAGUUACCAGGCCUUAGUGGUACCAGCCAGAUGUGUGUUAGUUACCGGGCCUUAGUGGUACCAGCCAGAGUAGUGUUAGUCACCAGGCCUUAGUGGUACCAGCCAGAGUAGUGUUGGUGUGAAUUAGUUACCGGGCCUUAGUGGUACCAGCCAGAGUAGUGUUGGUGUGAAUUAGUUACCGGGCCUUAGUGGUACCAGCCAGAGUAGUGUUGGUGUGAAUUAGUUACCGGGCCUUAGUGGUACCGGCCAGAGUAGUGAUGGUAUGUAUGAAUUACCGGGCCUUAGUGGUACCGGCCAGAGUAGCGUUGGCUCCUCUCCAGAUGAGAAUCUCCAGACCCGUAUCCACCAGGAAGACAAACCUACAGGAACACAGAGCAUUAGAACUACAGAACUACAGGAACACAGCAUUAGAACUACAGAACUACAGGAACACAGAGCAUUAGAACUACAGAAACACAGAGCAUUAGAACUACAGGAACACAGAACAUUAGAACUACAGGAACACAGAACAUUAGAACUACAGGAACACAGAACAUUAGACUACAGUAACACAGAACAUUAGAACUAUAG